CAUGACUAUUUAAAACAAUAUUAUUUUUACGAAUCCAGUCAGGUCUGGAAAGAAGCAGCUGUAGUAAAUAUAGUAUGUGUAAAAAAAUAGUCAUGUUU
rnacentral:SRP_RNA from 1 species